rnacentral:rRNA from 1 species
GAUGAACGCUAGCGGCAGGCCUAAUACAUGCAAGUCGAACGGGAUCUGAGGGUAGCUUGCUACCCGAUUUGAGAGUGGCGCACGGGUGCGUAACGCGUGAGCAACCUACCCAUAUCAGGGGGAUAGCCCGGAGAAAUUCGGAUUAACACCGCAUAAGAAUGUAUUAACACAUGUUAAAGCAUUUAAAUAUUUAUAGGAUAUGGAUGGGCUCGCGUGACAUUAGCUAGUUGGUGAGGUAACGGCUCACCAAGGCGACGAUGUCUAGGGGCUCUGAGAGGAGAAUCCCCCACACUGGUACUGAGACACGGACCAGACUCCUACGGGAGGCAGCAGUAGGGAAUAUUGGUCAAUGGGCGGAAGCCUGAACCAGCCAUGCCGCGUGCAGGAUGACUGCCCUAUGGGUUGUAAACUGCUUUUGUCGAGGAAUAAACCUAUCUACGUGUAGCUAGUUGAACGUACUCGAAGAACAAGGAUCGGCUAACUCCGUGCCAGCCGCCGCAGUAA